GCAAACUUGGUCAUUUAGAGGAAGUAAAAGUCGUAACAAGGUUUCCGUAGGUGAACCUGCGGAAGGAUCAUUAACGAGACUUGGAUCGUCGGGAGACGAAGCCUGUUUCCGUCCUCAUGUCAAACCACACGUGUUGCUUUCGGCGGAGGCGUUGGGCCGUUCAAUCGGGCUGACCGCCGUCGGUUUUCAGAUUCUAUGAACCUUGAAGUCAAAUUGAUUAAGGAAAUGAAGCAAAACUUUCAACAACGGAUCUCUUGGCUCUGGCAUCGAUGAAGAACGCAGC
rnacentral:misc_RNA from 1 species